GCGUGAGUGAUGAAGGCCUUAGGGUUGUAAAGCUCUUUCACCGGAGAAGAUAAUGACGGUAUCCGGAGAAGAAGCCCCGGCUAACUUCGUGCCAGCAGCCGCGGUAAUACGAAGGGGGCUAGCGUUGUUCGGAAUUACUGGGCGUAAAGCGCACGUAGGCGGAUAUUUAAGUCAGAGGUGAAAUCCCGGAGCUCAACUUCGGAACUGCCUUUGAUACUGGGUAUCUAGAGUAUGGAAGAGGUGAGUGGAAUUCCGAGUGUAGAGGUGAAAUUCGU
rnacentral:rRNA from 1 species